rnacentral:rRNA from 1 species
AACGCGUAGGAAUCUACCUAGUAGAAGGGGAUAGCCCGGGGAAACUCGGAUUAAUACCGUAUACCUCCUUCGGGAGAAAGAAGGCCUCUCUUUGAAGCUUUCGCUAUUAGAUGAGCCUGCGUAAGAUUAGCUUGUUGGUGAGGUAAAGGCUCACCAAGGCGACGAUCUUUAGCGGGUCUGAGAGGACGAUCCGCCACACUGGGACUGAGACACGGCCCAGACUCCUACGGGAGGCUGCAGCAGGGAAUAUUGUGCAAUGAGCGAAAGCUUGACACAGCGACACCGCGUGUGGGAUGACGGUUCUAGGAUUGUAAACCACUUUCAGGAGGGAAGAAAAUGACGGUACCUCCACAAGAAGACCCGGCCAACUAUGUGCCAGCAGCCGCGGUAAUACAUAGGGGUCAAGCGUUGUCCGGAUUUAUUGGGCGUAAAGAGCUCGUAGGCGGUUCAACAAGUCGGUCGUAAAAGUUUAGGGCUCAACCCUAAAAUGUCGAUCGAUACUGUUGUGACUAGGAUACGGUAGAGGUGAAUGGAAUUCCGAGUGUAGCGGUGAAAUGCGUAGAUAUUCGGAGGAACACCAAUUGCGAAGGCAGCUUUCUGGAUCAUUACUGACACUGAGGAACGAAAGCAUGGGUAGCGAAGAGGAUUAGAUACCCUCGUAGUCCAUGCCGUAAACGAUGUGUGUUAGACGUUGGAAAUUUAUUUUCAGUGUCGCAGCGAAAGCGAUAAACACACCGCCUGGGGAGUA